rnacentral:misc_RNA from 1 species
UACGUAGGUGGCGAACGUUAUCCGGAAUUACUGGGCGUAAAGGGUCCGCAGGCGGGCUCGGCAGUCCCAUGUGAAAGCGCCUGGCUUAACUAGGCGAGGACAUGGGAAACUUCGAGUCUUGAAUCUCGCAGGGGUCGGUGGAAUUCCCGGUGUAGUGGUGGAAUGCGUAGAGAUCGGGAGGAACCUCACAAGCGAAGGCAACCGGCUGGGCGGAGAUUGACGCUGAGGGACGAAAGCGUGGGGAGCGAACAGG